CCUACGGGUGGCUGCAGUCGAGAAUCAUUCACAAUGGGGGAAACCCUGAUGGUGCGACGCCGCGUGGGGGAAUGAAGGUCUUCGGAUUGUAAACCCCUGUCAUGUGGGAGCAAAUUAAAAAGAUAGUACCACAAGAGGAAGAGACGGCUAACUCUGUGCCAGCAGCCGCGGUAAUACAGAGGUCUCAAGCGUUGUUCGGAAUCACUGGGCGUAAAGCGUGCGUAGGCUGUUUCGUAAGUCGUGUGUGAAAGGCGCGGGCUCACCCCGCGGACGGCACAUGAUACUGCGAGACUAGAGUAAGGGAGGGGGAACCGGAAUUCUCGGUGUAGCAGUGAAAUGCGUGGAUAUCGAGAGGAACACUCGUGGCGAAGGCGGGUUCCUGGACAUUAACUGACGCUGAGGCACGAAGGCCAGGGGAGCGAAAGGGAUUAGAUACCCGGGUAGUC
rnacentral:rRNA from 1 species